CCUACGGGGGGCAGCAGCCGCGGUAAUACGUAGGUGGCAAGCGUUGUCCGGAUUUACUGGGUGUAAAGGGCGUGUAGCCGGGCUGACAAGUCAGAUGUGAAAUCCGGGGGCUCAACCCCCGAACUGCAUUUGAAACUGUUGGUCUUGAGUAUCGGAGAGGCAGGCGGAAUUCCUAGUGUAGCGGUGAAAUGCGUAGAUAUUAGGAGGAACACCAGUGGCGAAGGCGGCCUGCUGGACGACAACUGACGGUGAGGCGCGAAAGCGUGGGGAGCAAACAGGAUUAGAAACCCUUGUAGUCCCCCUAG
rnacentral:rRNA from 1 species